AUCCAAGUUGAUUCGCUCUCCAAGGGGCCAACUAGUGCCACUCCCAGGAAAGUAGCAAAUUGGAAUUAAAAUAGGCAUGACUAAUGUUUUGAGGAACAGGGGAUGCUGAUUCAUUUUGUCUCCCUUUUGCUUCCCUGAGUG